rnacentral:rRNA from 1 species
UACGUAGGGGGCAAGCGUUGUCCGGAUUUAUUGGGCGUAAAGAGCGUGUAGGCGGCCAGACAGGUCUGCUGUGAAAACUCGAGGCUCAACCUCGAGACGCCGGUGGAAACCGUUUGGCUAGAGUCCGGAAGAGGAGAGUGGAAUUCCUGGUGUAGCGGUGAAAUGCGCAGAUAUCAGGAGAACACCCGUGGCUAAGGCGGCUCUCUGGUACGGUACUGACGCUGAGACGCGAAAGCGUGGGGAGCGAACAGG